rnacentral:lncRNA from 1 species
ACCACAAAAAUGUUAGAACUUACAUCACUUUUACUAUUCUACGUGCUUCUAUAGCAGUAACACCCAUGCCUAAACAUGCCAGAGAAGAAAACAGUUGAAAAAGAAAAUCAGGUAAAGGUUACAAGAAGAAGAAGAAAACGAGGACCAGAAUUAAGCAGAAACACAAAAUCACCUUAGUAUAUCAAGCCAAUUAAUAUGUAAAUUUGCCUUUGUUACAAAUGUAUGAAUCAUGAAAUAGGAAAUACUUUGCGAUGACCUCUUCUGCUUGGACCAGAAGGUGGAACUCUGCGUUUCACCAAACUAACAUGUUGAUAAUUGGUAUUAGUACUACUCAUCAUGCUGCUCGUUCUUGCACUUGUUGUUGUUGUUGUUGUUUGCAUUGCCAUUAAUAAUCUGUCGCUUGUUGCUGAUGAUGCAGCCAUUAAUAUGACCAUCAUCACUACAAUGGAGGAGAAUACACAAGCUGGUCUAUCAACUAAGCUGGCCAUGCAAUUAUAUUUAUGAACUCACUAUAUAUAUGAAUGUGUUAGAGAGAAAUGUUUGUGACAACUGAUGAGUGUGUGUUUGUUUCGUUUAGUUGAGUUUGC